rnacentral:lncRNA from 1 species
ACAGUCUCCAGGCUGCAGCAUCUGGUGAGGAAGGGAAGGUGUAUGGCUGCAUUGUUUUUCUCUUGGUGUUCAACUGGAAUAGAGCAGGAAAUUGCUUUGGAGAUGAGGAAACAAACUCUUAUGGAGACCUAAGAGACUGAAGACAUCUGGCGUGGACUACUCUGAUGGUAAAAUUGAAAGUACACCUAAAUUUGCUUUGUUACAGGAUUCUCUUCAGAGGACAAGAGAAGAUGUUACAUUCUCUGCAUGAGGACAAUUCUGCAGCAUCAAAAUCGAAUAAUAUUUGUUUUCUGGCAGCAGAAUUUUGUAUCAUAUUUCUAAAGACAGUAAGCACUUGGGUGGACGUCAAUGAAUACUAAACACUAAUUGAUCUGAUACAGCCGUAUGCACAUACACAGAUAUACAUGGUGGCUUGUAAUGGUUGAAAAAUUACGGUUUGGUUUUAUUAAAAGAUCUGUCACUUUUAGGUCAGAGUGGGAUUUUGGAGGGAUAGUCUCCCACAAUAGAAAACUACCCUGACAACAGUGGUGUUUUGAGGUUGUUUGUUGUUUGGCUUCUUGAUGAUGCUUAGCUAAGGAGACACUUCCUUUCAGAUUCUGUCUUCCAAACCCCAGGGCUCUGUUCUGGGCAGUUCAGCCUAAUGGAAUUAAGCCUGACAUGUUUCAACUCUAUUUCUUGAUAAAAUAAACAUAAAACAAUGGUUUAGAUUUCGAAUAAAACUCUUGAAGCAUGGGGU